rnacentral:rRNA from 1 species
UACGUAGGGUGCGAGCGUUGCCCGGAUUUAUUGGGCGUAAAGGGCGCGUAGGCGGCCACGCACGUCCGUUGUGAAAUCGCCCGGCUCAACUGGGCGGGGUCAGCGGAUACGGUGUGGCUCGAGCAAGCUAGGGGGCAAUGGAAUUCCCGGUGUAGUGGUGGAAUGCGUAGAUAUCGGGAGGAACACCAGUGGCGAAGGCGGUUGCCUGGAGCUUUGCUGACGCUGAGGCGCGAAAGCGUGGGGAGCGAUCCAG